AAACUCUUUUUUUUUCUUUUUAACCUUUGUUAUGUAAUAGUAUAUUACUUAUAGCUGUCACGUUCAAUGACAUCAUAAGUUACGAUGCUACGAAAGUUGAAAAAAACCUCGUUCAUCAGCUGGUCGUCAUAAACCAAACUAUUCAAUGAACGU